rnacentral:rRNA from 1 species
CAAGUCGUGGGGCAGCGCAGGUAGCAAUACUGGGCGGCGACCGGCAAACGGGUGCGGAACACGUACACAACCUUCCGAGAAGUGGGGAAUAGCCCAGAGAAAUUUGGAUUAAUACCCCGUAACAUAACGAUGUGGCAUCACAUUGUUAUUAUAGCUUCGGCGCUUCUUGAUGGGUGUGCGGCUGAUUAGAUAGUUGGCGGGGUAACGGCCCACCAAGUCUACGAUCAGUAGCUGAUGUGAGAGCAUGAUCAGCCACACGGGCACUGAGACACGGGCCCGACUCCUACGGGAGGCAGCAGUAAGGAAUAUUGGUCAAUGGACGCAAGUCUGAACCAGCCAUGCCGCGUGAAGGAUUAAGGUCCUCUGGAUUGUAAACUUCUUUUAUCUGGGACGAAAAAAGGCGAUUCUUCGUCACUUGACGGUACCAGAUGAAUAAGCACCGGCUAACUCCGUGCCAGCAGCCGCGGUAAUACGGAGGGUGCAAGCGUUAUCCGGAUUCACUGGGUUUAAAGGGUGCGUAGGCGGGCAGGUAAGUCAGUGGUGAAAUCCUAGAGCUUAACUCUAGAACUGCCAUUGAUACUAUCUGUCUUGAAUAUUGUGGAGGUAAGCGGAAUAUGUCAUGUAGCGGUGAAAUGCUUAGAUAUGACAUAGAACACCUAUUGCGAAGGCAGCUUACUACGCAUAUAUUGACGCUGAGGCACGAAAGCGUGGGGAUCAAACAGGAUUAGAUACCCUGGUAGUCCACGCCCUAAACGAUGAUUACUCGACAUUUGUGAUACACUAUAAGUGUCUGAGCGAAAGCAUUAAGUAAUCCACCUGGGAAGUACGACCGCAAGGUUGAAACUCAAAGGAAUUGGCGG